UGUGUACUCUGUAAGAUUAGGUGCCAGUGUUGACUAGGUCCACGGAGCUCUGGUCAACACUAGUGACCUGUAGAGAUUAGGGUGCCAGUGUUGACUAGGUCCACGGAGCUCUGUCAACACUAGUGUACUCUGUAGAGAUUAGGGUGCCAGUGUUGACUAGGUCCACGGAGCUCUGGUCAACACUAGUGUACUCUGUAGAGAUUAGGGUUGCCACGUGGGAAACAUGUCCUUUUCAACACACGAUCAUGUUAUUUUCAUGAUUCAUCGUAAUUAUCAUAUUUCAUGUGCUCAUGUUUCUGUGAUAAUGAUCGACGGAAAGUGAUUGUCUCAUUGAUAACAAAGUGAACUUAAGCAAUGAUGAUUUUUUAAAAUUCAAACCCUGAUUAAUAAUAAUAUUUCAAAUCCAGUCGAAUUGUACUUCAGACUUAAAGAUGUGUUUGUGAUGGAUAAUGUUUGCCCUACCUCUAACAAUACAAUGUGUUAUCUGUGCCAAAGCCUUGCUAUGCAUAUAGAAAAUGGCAACUUUUACAUGAGUCAUGAGUCACCCCCUAGAUGUCCUUUAAGGUCGUCCAGUUCCAUAACAUACUGAAUCCUACAGCUGUCCCUUUCAGUUUCCAUAACAUACUGAAUCCUACAGCUGUCGCCAUUCAGUUUCCAUAAACAUACUGAAUCCUACAGCUGUCGCCAUUCAGUUUUCCAUAACAUACUGAAUCCUACAGCUGUCGCCAUUCAGUUUCCAUAACAUACUGAAUCCUACAGCUGUCGCCAUUCAGUUCCAUAACAUACUGAAUCCUACAGCUGUCACCAUUCAGUUUCCAAUAACAUACUGAAUCCUACAGCUGUGCACCCUUCAGUUUCCAUAACAUACUGAAUCCUACAGCUGUCGCCAUUCAGUUUCCAUAACAUACUGAAUCCUACAGCUGGUCGCCAUUCAGUUUCCAUAACAUAC